CCUGGCUCAGAUUGAACGCUGGCGGCAGGCCUAACACAUGCAAGUCGAGCGGAAACGGCGGUAUUGAAGCUUCGGUGGAUUUACUGGACGUCGAGCGGCGGACGGGUGAGUAACGGCUGGGAACCUGCCCUGACGAGGGGGAUAACCGUUGGAAACGACGGCUAAUACCGCAUAAUGUCUUGAUUCGUUAGAGUCAGGACCAAAGGUGGCCUCUACAUGUAAGCUAUCGCGUUGGGAUGGGCCCAGUUAGGAUUAGCUAGUUGGUAAGGUAAUGGCUUACCAAGGCAACGAUCCUUAGCUGGUUUGAGAGGAUGAUCAGCCACACUGGGACUGAGACACGGCCCAGACUCCUACGGGAGGCAGCAGUGGGGAAUAUUGCACAAUGGGGGAGACCCUGAUGCAGCCAUGCCGCGUGUGUGAAGAAGGCCUUCGGGUUGUAAAGCACUUUCAGCAGUGAGGAAGGUCGUGUACUUAAUACGUGCACGGCUUGACGUUAGCUGCAGAAGAAGCACCGGCUAACUCCGUGCCAGCAGCCGCGGUAAUACGGAGGGUGCGAGCGUUAAUCGGAAUUACUGGGCGUAAAGCGCAUGCAGGCGGUUUGUUAAGUCAGAUGUGAAAGCCCGGGGCUCAACCUCGGAACCGCAUUUGAAACUGGCAGGCUAGAGUCUUGUAGAGGGGGGUAGAAUUUCAGGUGUAGCGGUGAAAUGCGUAGAGAUCUGAAGGAAUACCAGUGGCGAAAGCGGCCCCCUGGACAAAGACUGACG
rnacentral:rRNA from 1 species